CGGGGCAUAGCGCAGUCUGGUAGCGCACCUGCUUUGGGAGCAGGAUGUCGGGGGUUCAAAUCCCUCUGCCCCGACCA
rnacentral:tRNA from 1 species